rnacentral:rRNA from 1 species
AUCUGAUUUAACUUAGUGGCGGACGGGUGAGUAAUGCGUGAGCAACCUGCCCUUCAGAGGGGGACAACAGUUGGAAACGACUGCUAAUACCGCAUGAAGCAUAGAGGUCGCAUGAUCUUUAUGCCAAAGAUUUAUCGCUUCAAGAUGGCCUCGCGUCUGAUUAGCUAGUUGGAGGGGUAACGGCCCACCAAGGCGACGAUCAGUAGCCGGUCUGAGAGGAUGAACGGCCACAUUGGGACUGAGACACGGCCCAGACUCC